UUAUUACGGGCGUAGAGUACAGUUUCGUCUAGCCCGUCGCUUCGGCUUUAUCAUUAUCACGUGCGAUAAUAUACGGUAGCGUAGUUAGUACCGGAAAAAGUGAUGAUAAUGGUGUCGUUGCAAGUUUCAGUCAAAGGAUUUCCGGCGUUGAUUAAAUUAUGCCAGGAAUAGUGUUAAUGUUUCAGGAACAACGUUUUCAUAUAUUCAUCAAGCGGAUGGUUUUAGCGCUCAAACGCCUAUGGCUAUCGUUUCUAAUUUCCAUAGGCGAGAACAACGAGGCUUGAAGCUCUUUAGUAACAUAAUCCGUCUUGACGCGGCCUAAUCGUCCCUCUUUACUCGGUAUUCGAGCUUCUUUCGCGAGGCCGGACCUCGUAAUCCGUGACAGAGUUCACGGAAGGGUACCUAAUCGAUCGUGGCACUCGACAACGGCCCCGGGAUCUUGCAAUUUCAUGGGCCGGGCCGAUUUACCUGUUACCGCUGUGAAAUAUCGGGAAACUUCCGGAGGAGAUUACCGGCUGACAAUUUAUUGGCUCGGUGCGGCGUUUUUCGAGACACUGCCCGUUCCCAACCGGUGAUCGACUAAUCGAGACUGGCCUCCCACCGUCGAUAUCGAACCCGGCAAAUUCGAAAUGGGACAGGGAAGUGUUUUUGGAUAAAUCUGAAUUGAAUUGAACGUUUUUCUUUUCCAAAUUGCUUCUGAUUGUAAUCUCACAAAGCAAAUGAAAAUGAAGGCAAAAUAAAUGUACGCGAUUUACUUUAGUAUGAUUAUUUAAAUUUGGAAUGUUCAGACGAAAUUUUAUUGCGCAAAAUGAAUUUUGUCAUAAGAUUGUAUUCUUGUAUCAAAUAGUUUUUCUAAUUGCUUUUAAAUAAAUGUCUCAGAAAGUUUCCAAAGAAACUUUUAAUUAACGAGGUACGAAGUAAUAAACAACUGUACGUCUCGAGCAUAUUUUGUUUAAAUACUGUUAAGAAAGUUACGGUGAGACAAGGCACACGAGUACAGUAUCAACAAGUAAAUACGUAAUGUGACUCGCUUCUACAAGUACGUAGCUUAAUCUAACAGCCGAGAAGUUGUGUAUAGACCAUUCUACGUGUUGAAUUCAAUAUGCUGCUACGUAAAACAUUAUUACAAAUACUGUAUAAGUCCAAUUGUACUUUCCUUGUUUUUGGAAAUAAAAAGAAACAUUUUAAUUGCA